rnacentral:rRNA from 1 species
CAGCCGCCGCGGGAAAACGGAGGGAGCUAGCGUUGUUCGGAAUCACUGGGCGUAAAGCGCACGUAGGCGGCUAUUCAAGUCAGGGGUGAAAGCCCGGGGCUCAACCCCGGAACUGCCUUUGAAACUAGAUAGCUUGAAUCUUGGAGAGGCGAGUGGAAUUCCGAGUGUAGAGGUGAAAUUCGUAGAUAUUCGGAAGAACACCAGUGGCGAAGGCGACUCGCUGGACAAGUAUUGACGCUGAGGUGCGAAAGCGUGGGGAGCAAACAGGAUUAGAUACCCGAGUAGUCCCUGUCUCUUAUAC